UCCCUCUCAGGAUUGCACCUGGAGAGUUUCCAGUACUCUUCCAGUCUUGGCUAUGUGAGGAAGAGUCAAGCAGAGGCAUACCCAUUCCAUUCCUAGCUUGGGCAGUGGCUAGCCAGUGGAAGGCAAUCAGCUACAAGC